rnacentral:lncRNA from 1 species
AUAACUUAUUGUUCAUUACUUAAUUGAAUAGUAAUAAAAGGACGAACAAUUAACUUAACCCAAAAUGCAAGGUUACCACCAUUGCAAAUGAAAAGUGCAAAAUAAAUUGAAGUAAAGGUACAGGGUUACAAGUGUAAUUCACCCCCCCAUGGUAGGGACUACGAAACAAUUAAUUGGACGAUUAUAAAGCUAGAGGAUUUUGAAUGAUGGAUUUGAGUUUUGGGAAGGCUGGGGAAUGACAGGUGAGGGUAGGAGAAGGCGGUGAUGGCAAGCGACAUGGCGGUUGUGGGUGCGGGUGCAGGGAUAACGUUUGACCCUGAAAUCUAGGGUUUGUCCAUAGUGGUAAUUUUUUUUAAGGGGUGAGAUGUAAUAAAAAAAAUAAAUAUUUUUGAUGGGCUAGAAGGAGGAAUCUAGGUCAAAUAGAAUCACCCUAGUACUUAUACCAUUUACUAAUAAAAUUAACCAAACAACCUCCAUCCUCUUAUGCCAUCCACCACCAUCAUUCUCCCCACCCUCGCCCCUUUCACCUCUCCCACCACACCCACCCUCUCCCCCAUCAAUCCGAGAUGCCUUCUUCGCACCCCGAAGUCACCCCACCCCUUAGGAGUGGCAUGGCCCUACUCAUCUCAAUCACAUAUAGCAACUCCUCACCUCAUUGGGCCGCCACCCCCAGCCCCUUCCUUACCUUGCCCAGCCACCUCCCAAUCGUUCCCACACUAAGCUGUACCCCUCCCGCUCCUUCAUCAAGAUUAAUAUAUAUAUUUAAAUACAUUUUUCAGACUUCCACCAUCUUCAUAUACUUAAAUUUUAGGAAAAAUUAUAAAAAUAACCAUAGGAUUUCACUGAUAAAUUAAAUCUUGAAUUUUUUUUGAAUAAAUUAAAUCUUAAACUUUUUAACCUAUCACGUUUCAAAUCUUUCGCCAAUUUCAAUUUAUAUAGUUAAACGACAACAAUUGUUCCCACAAAAAUGAUUGAGAAAACGAUGUCCAGUGAAUUGGGACCCUUUUAAUAGUUUUAAUUUCCGCAAUUAGGACACUUAUCUAAUUGGUGUCGUCAAACUAUAUAAAUGAAAGCUAAUGGCGUUCUUAAUUGGUGUUGUUUUUUUAAAAGAAAAUAAUUUUUUUUGCUUUUUUUAAGUUCAAUAGUUAUUUUUUAGAAACUACUCAACUCAUGCUUCUCAACUUCUACUUCUACCUAUUACUCAAUCAUAAAAGCAAAAUAACAAAAUAUCUCGUACUUGUUUGACCUAAUUAUAAAUAUACCUUCAUAAAUAACAAACCAAUUCGACUCUCUUUAUUUUUUGAUCAUUCUCUCUCUUAUCCAUCUCCGUACUGAAGACCUACCCUACACUAAAGCCACUAUUCCUUUAUCUGCCAUUGUAUCCGACCGUCAAUUAGCCACCGAUCACCGUUUAAUAAUUUUAUUUUAUUUUUGUUAAAUUUUUAUGAGCAUAUAGUGUUUUUUUGCUUGGUAAUGUAACUGUUUUUUUGAGCAACUUCUAACUACAAAAAUAUACAUUUUGAAUGUUUUCAAUUACGUUUUUUUUUAACAUAAAUGAACUUUUUAAGCUAUUUUUAGGGCCAUUUUUGAAGUUACUAAACUCAUGCUUUUUAGUUUUUGUUUCUAUCUAUUACUCAAUUAUAAAAGCAAAAUGACAAAAUACUUCAUACUUAAUUAACCAACUAGUUUUUCAAUUGGAGAUUAUAUGCCGAACUAGUUUUUUAAUUAACAAAUAUUCUUGGAUCAUGAAGAUGGUGAAAGAUUGCAUUGCCGUUUUGAUUAAGAAUAUGGAACGUUUGAAAACCUUGGUAAGUAUUUUGUUAAAAGCACAAUGUCAUACCCUGCAGUUUUUUCAGGCAACUAGUUAAUGCGGUCGAAGUAUACAAACAUUUGGUUUAAAUUGUAAUGGUUAAAAAAUAUGAGAUCUAAUUUAUUUAAAUUGAAAAUAUGAGUUAAUUUUGUCACUAAAUUUAAACCUUGGGUUUAAUAUGUAAUUUCGUAAUCAAAGACACUUGCACAAAUUAUAUAGGCAGCGGAAGAAAUGCUAAUUUUAAUUUCAAACAAACCUUCCCAAUCUUUUUUUCCUAAUUCCAUUAAAUGUUGGUUGGAGUUAAAUUUUGCUGGAACCUGUAAAUUCACCUAAUGUAUAGGGAAAUGUGACGCCGUCUCAACAAUUGAGGUGCUUUCCCUGUGGCUACUUAGUUGGAGGUCUAAGCUUUUUGUGCUUGGAUUCUCCUAGACUAUGCCUUGAUGCUCUCUCUCUUUUUUCCCCCUUUUCUCCGGGCAAUUGAGGUGUAAUUUUGAUUAAUCGGUGAAAAUAAUUUACUAAAGAUAAAUAAAAGGUGAAAAGCAAAAUAGAUAAAAAAAAAUUAUCCCAAAUAGAAAGAAAAAUGAUUUUCAUACGUUCAUUUUCUUUAAUUGUAUUUUUCUUAUGUUUAUUGAAAUUAAAUUAUGCAAUUAUCGUAAUAAAAAUAUUUGAGUAAAAAUAAAUAUUUAAAUAAAUUUAUCAUAAUAAGGACAACAAAAUCUAUAAUAUAUGACACAAGUAUUUUUGAAUCUUUCAAAUUAUCUCUCACUAUUUACGGAUGAGAUCUAUUUGAGUUAAUACAAUGUCUGAAAUUUCACCUGAGACUAUUUUUUCUCCAAAAAAAAUAUCACUUCUUUUUUUCUCAAAGGUGUGUGUGGCCCACGUAGGUUGUAAAAAUCACAUGGUCAAACUAGCAACACUUUUUCAAAAUCAUUAUAUUUUUUAAUUUAUUCUUUAUUUUGUAGUAAUCUAUCUCUUAUAUGACGUUUAUAUCUUAUAUGUUUUUUAGGUUAUACAAAUUUUAAUGCACACGGAUGCGAUUUUUUUUUUUUUUACAUAAUGUCCGUGUGCACGGAUAAUUACUAACAGCUUAAUAUGAUCAAUUUAAUUGGUUUAGUAUUUUUCUUACAUCCCUAGGACUUGGGUUUGAUCGGAGAUUAUAUGCCGAAUAAAUUUUUUAAUUAGUAAAUAUUUUUGAACCAUAGAGAUGGCGGAAGAUUGUGUUGCCGUUUUGAUUAAGAAUAUAGGACUUCUGAAAAACCAUGGUAAGAAUAUAUCCUGCAGUUUUUUCAGCCAGUUAGUUAAUGCGGUUUCAGCCAGUUAGUUAAUGGGGUCAAAUGAUACAAUCAUUUGGUUUGAAUCGUAAUGGUUAAAAAAUAUGAGAUUUAAUUUCUUAAAUUGAAAAUAUAAAGUUAAUUUUGUCACCAAGUUUAAACUUUGGGGUUUAAUUUGUAAUUUCUCAAAAAAAAAGCAUUAAAAGUUAGAACUCAAAUCCAAUACCAAUCGGAGGCCGAUUCACUUUUGGGUUCUCUCUUGGCAAUUGCGAACUGCGAAGGCGACGUGAUUCUAGGGUUUGCGACGAGAAGAAGAUGAAAUCGGGAGCGACGAUCUGUGUGGAUGCUGAGCCCUAUUUGAGGGUGAAGGAGGAAGUGGAGGAAAAACAUGGCCUUCAAAUUGUUGGCGAAGGCGACGAGUAUUGCCUGAAGCAAAGCGACGAAAUAAGUGGAAUCGUAACGACGACCUUUUUGGGAUCCUGGAUGAUGUGGCUAAGCCCCUUUCGAGAGUGAAGGAGGAAGUGGAGGAAAAUCACGGCCUUCGAAUUGGGGGCGAUGCUAUGUUUUAUGCUCAUAUUCUUAUCGGAGGAAAGUUUGGAGAAUGUCAAAUUGGUAACUGUUAAUUCUCUCGUCUAUUACAUCUGUUGCUAUCCGUAUGUAAUCAAAUUUUGUUGUUGCUGCUGCUGCUGUUGUUAAAUCUCGUCUUUUCAUAAUUUCGGUUGAUUUUGGAGCUAUUCGUAGCCAUGGAUGGACGCAGACCUUGGGGCGGAUGGACAUACAUGGACGAAAAACUUGUGUCGAUUGCCUGAACAAAUUAUAUCAAUCUAGUAGAGUGCUAUUUUGUACAUCCACCUGGGUGAAUAUUACCCCAUUUAGAAUAGUAGACCCCGCAAUUUAGCCAUCACAGAUAGGAUAUUGAUGUGGGUGAACAAAAUAGCACUCACAUAAUUAAACUGAAACAUUAGAAGAAGAGGAAGAAUGAGAAGCUAAAAAACCUUUAGCUUGGUGGAUAUGACAAUGAAAAAGAUCUCCCCUGACAUGAGAUUCUUUCGUCAUUUGGCAUAAUUUUCUAAUAGAAAAGUUUAUCUGUUGGCCGAGUUUUUUUUCUAUCUGUGAAGACUGGCAGAACACGCUAUGGCCCGAUAUUUUCGUCAGGUGUUUAUCUGGGAUUUUCCUACCUUUGGAGAUUGGAUGCCUCCGUGCAUUCGCUUUGCACGGCAGAUUAGUUUUGUCAUUUCUAGCCCAAACCCACAAUUUAGAAGGUCGCCUUCUUUAUAAAAAAAUUGUCAAAGGGAAACAUAUGUAUCAUUUUUUGUUAGGCUUGAACAAAAAUCUCGAUGAAUUAGAGGACGACUUAUGGGCUUAAAAACCUCUGCCGCACCUCAGAGAGGCAUUUUAUGAACUCCGUCGUGAAAAAUUCGAAAAAAGCUCGUGAUGGGACCCCAUCAACAACUGAAAUAGGCAAGAAAGCUCUGUUUUUAAAACUCAUAUUCACUCCUUCUAAAACCGUCAAAAAUAAAGGAGGAAGGCCUUGGUGUGAUCAGUGUGGAAAGCCAGGUCACUCAAUAGAAACUUUCCAGAAUAUUCAUGAAAAAACAGCAGAUUGGAAGCCAUAUCAACUACUUGAGAAAGAAAGAUGUCCUUUUAUGUCAGCGUAGUCACAAACUGGUUCGUCUUCAAACAAUGUCAUUGAUUCCGGAACCUUGGCUCACAAAGGUAAUUCUUUAAGUGCCUUUAUUAUUGGUAAGAAAUUUAAAAAAUUUUGGAUCAUGGACUCGAGAGCAUCUGAUCAUAUGAGGGGAGAUAUAACAAUUUUUUAUAUAUAUAGCUUAUGUCCAAAUAAUCUAACGGUCCGAAUAGCGAAGGUUACCGAUAUAGGUUCAGUUGUGCUAUCACAGGAUCUUAAUCUCAACUCUGUUCUUCUUGUUCCUAACUUGGACUAUAAUCUAUUGUCAAUUAGUAAACUUACUAAAGAAAGGAGGCAUGUUACUAAUUUUUUCUCCAUUCACUAUGAAUUUUAGGAUUUGGAUUCGAGGAAGACGAUUGGCAAUGCUGAGGAAUACUCCAGACUCUCCAUCCUUAAGGAUCGCAACUAUCCACAAGAACAAUCUCAAACGACAUUUAGUGGUAUUCUUUGUUUUUAUUUGUGUCAAAAUAACGAUAGUGCAAUCAUGUUUGGCACUAUCAGUUAGGCCUCCUAAUGUUAUGCAUCUCACGCUUUAUUUUCUUCAUUAUUAUUCCUCCCCAAUCCCACCUCCUUUUUCUUUUUCCCUCUUUCCCUUCUCCCCUCCCCGACCCCCUCCGUUUCUUUCUUCAUUUUUCAUUCACCCCCUAUAAAGCUCUAAUCUUCUCAAUGAUUCCAUAGCGAUAUAUGGGGCUGUCCAGAUAAAAAAUUUAACUGGUUCUAUGUGGUUUUGGUCUCCUUAAUAUAUUAUCACACUAGAUUAACCUGGGCAUUCCUCAUGAAAGAAAUUUUGAAACGGGUUCAAAUCUUCAAAAAAUUUAAAAAUAUGAUUUAACUCAAUUUUAGUCAAAAAUACAAAUUCUAAAGCUAAUAACGCUAAUGAUUAUUUCAACUCUAUUCUAAGUUCAUUUCUAGAAAAAAAAAAAAAAAAAUAAAAGAGAGGAUAAUUCACUCCAAGUUUCCAUGUGUAGAUACACCAUAACAAAACGGAAUCGCUGGAAAAAAAAUAGGCAUUUGUCAAGGUGCGAGAUCGUAAUGUGUUUUUUUUUCUCCACAAAUGUUCCAAAAUUAUUCUGGGGGGAAGUUGUACUUUGGUGGCCUACUCAUCAUAGGAUUGCCGUAUAAGGUACAAACAUUCCCAAUGCUUUGUCAAAAGCGCUUAAAUCAUUUUUGAUACUCAUCGUUAUCUUCACCAUCCAAAUUUUUGGGUGGCUCAGUCUUUGUUCAUGUCCAUCAAUAGUAUACGAAGUAAAUUUGAAAUCAUAGUGUCACUCAAAUGCAUCUUUUCUUUGGUAUCUUCAAAUCAAAAAGGUACAAGUGUUACCUUCGUCACAAGAAAAAUCUCAACUAUAUCCCAAUUCUUUGGCAGUAUCGAAUGACAAUUUUUUUUUGCCAAUGUCAGUGGUCAGCGAGUGACAAGCGACGACCAUGACAUAUUAUUUUCUGCCUCCAUUUUUUGUAGGUUGGUGCUGAGGUUUCUGGUGCCCGUUGAAGCUCCAUUGAUGUAGUCUUCUUUCUCCUUUCCCCGUAUGAACAAGUAAGAUGACUAGACCAUUGUAAAUAAUUUUGUCCAUUCAGUUUAUGGGAGGAUCCCUGAAGAUAAGAGGUUUCCUCUAUAAAGGAUGAAGAUGAUGAGAUGUGCUAUCAGAAGAAGAGGAGGGUGAGUGGUAGCCAUUCGUAAGGUUGGAUCGUAUUUACGACAUGAAAUAGAAAAAGAGAAUCGAGUAGAAAAACUCGAACAUUGAUUGAAGAUGAAGAAAUUAUAUCAAUCUAGUAGAGUGCUAUUUUGUACAUCCACCUGGGUGAAUAUUACCCCAUUUAGAAUAGUAGACCCCGCAAUUUAGCCAAUCACAGAUAGGAUAUUGAUGUGGGUGAACAAAAUAGUACUCACAUAAUUAAACUGAAACAUUAGAAGAAGAGGAAGAAUGAGAAGCUAAAAAACCUUUAGCUUGGUGGACAUUAAUUUUUCAAAAAUUUCUCGGGUGGAAAAACUAUAUAAUUUGAAAAUAUUAGUAGCUUAUACUAUUAUUAUAAUGGGUUUUUACCUUGGGGUGGCGUUGGCGCCCUUCUAUCUCUAUCUCUCUCCCCUCAAUUCCUAAUUGUAGCCUUGUUGGUUUUAUUUUUCCCGUGACGCUUCAAUGGGUUUCGGUCCUGAUUCCAUUGUUGGUUGGGUUUUUUGAUGUUACUUUUUCUGGUUCUUCGAUUGGUGAUUACUGAUAUUUAUUUUUCCUUUUAUCUUAACCGUGAUGAUUUAUUUAUAUUGAAGAAGACAGUUUAAUGCUAGAGAGAUGCAGCAUAUCUCAAUGAAGCCUGUGAGUUGACACGAUCUAGAAUCUUAAGCAAUGAGGACGAGAAAGAGCUUGAUAGUGUUGAGCACAUUAUACGUCGGUCUUUGAUAGAAUACAACGAGCUGGUUAAGGAGAAGCAUCCGAUCUUCAAGCCUUGGUGGGAUCGUGUUAGCCGGGAACUUAAUGGUGCAGAAACUAAAUUGCUUUCUUUCAUGGAUUCAUGGAUGCCAAUUUCCGCGAUGCCACACGUAACUCCUGAAUUAGUCCAUGAGUGUCAGGCUGUUUGUGGUCUGCUUCACCUGGCCAUGGAAGCUAAGAACUUGUCUGGAAUUCCUAAGCUGCUCAGUGAGUUCAUUGACCUCCUCCACAAACUUGUGGGGGCCGAUUCCGAUUAAGUUUCAAAGACAAUUAGUGAAACUGUUGACAGCAUCAAGUAAGGAGGUAAAU